UACGUAGGGUGCGAGCGUUGUCCGGAAUUAUUGGGCGUAAAGAGCUCGUAGGCGGUGUGUCGCGUCGGCCGUGAAAACCUGCAGCUUAACUGUGGGCUUGCGGUCGAUACGGGCAUCACUGGAGUUCGGCAGGGGAGACUGGAAUUCCUGGUGUAGCGGUGAAAUGCGCAGAUAUCAGGAGGAACACCGGUGGCGAAGGCGGGUCUCUGGGCCGAUACUGACGCUGAGGCACGAAAGCUAGGGGAGCAAACAGG
rnacentral:rRNA from 1 species